ensembl:lncRNA
GUAGUCUAGUGGUUAGAGUGUAGGGUGGCAGGUAGCCUAGUGGUUAGAGUGUAGAGGUGGCAGGUAGCCUAGUGGUUAGAGUGUAGAGGUGGCAGGUAGUCUAGUGGUUAGAGUGUAGGGGCGGCAGGUAGCCUAGUGGUUAGAGUGUAGAGGUGGCAGGUAGCCUAGUGGUUAGAGUGUAGAGGUGGCAGGUAGUCUAGUGGUUAGAGUGUAGGGGCGGCAGGUAGCCUAGUGGUUAGAGUGUAGAGGUGGCAGGUAGCCUAGUGGUUAGAGUGUAGAGGUGGCAGGUAGCCUAGUGGUUAGAGGGUAGAGGUGGCAGGUAGCCUAGUGGUUAGAGUGUAGAGGUGGCAGGUAGUCUCGUGGUUAGAGUGUAGAGGUGGCAGGUAGCCUAGUGGUUAGAGGGUAGAGGUGGCAGGUAGCCUAGUGGUUAGAGUGUAGAGGUGCAGCCUCUACAGCCUGCUGGUCUGUUGCUCAGCUUAAACACACACACACACACACACACACACACACACACACACACACACACACACACACACACACACACACUGGCGCUGGUCUUCCUCCAUCAGUUUUAUCUGUGUGAUCUCAGAGACCGGCCAGCGCCUCAUCCCAAAUAGCUCUAGUCAAAAGUAUGGGGUGCUAUUUGGGACAUUUCCCUCUGUGCCCCCCUGGUGCAUUCUGGGUAACUGUGUGUCUGCAGCGAGCGGGGAGGAUAUCCUGGCAGAAGGGGGGAGUGAGAGUGGCCAUUUGAGUUCCUUAGAGGUCAUACUGAGACUUCCUCUCUCUCUCUGUCUCUCUCUCUCUCUCUCUCUCUCUCUCUCUCUCUGUCUCUCUCUCUUCUCCCUCUCUCUCUCUUCUCCCUCUCUCUCUCUCUGUCUCUCUCUCUCUCUCUCUCUC